UACGGAGGGUGCAAGCAUUAAUCGGAUUUAUUGGGCGUAAAGGGCGCGUAGGCGGAGAGAAAAGUCAGAUGUGAAAUCCCGGGGCUCAACCCCGGAACAGCAUUUGAAACUCUCACUCUAGAGGGUAGGCGGAGAAAACGGAAUUCCACAAGUAGCGGUGAAAUGCGUAGAUAUGUGGAAGAACACCGGUGGCGAAGGCGGUUUUCUAGCUUAUUCCUGACGCUGAGGCGCGAAAGCAAGGGGAU
rnacentral:rRNA from 1 species